CACCGGCGGCCCGAGUGGUAACCGUUAUUAUUGGGUCUAAAGGGUCCGUAGCCGGCCAGGUAAGUCCCUUGGGAAAUCUGGCAGCUUAACUGUCAGGCUGCCAGGGGAUACUGCUUGGCUUGGGACCGGGAGAGGUGAGAGGUACCUCAGGGGUAGGGGUGAAAUCUUGUAAUCCUUGAGGGACCACCAGUGGCGAAGGCGUCUCACCAGAACGGGUCCGACGGCAAGGGACGAAAGCUAGGGGCACGAACCGGAUUAGAUACCCGGGUAGUCCUAGCCGUAAACGAUACUCGCUAGGUGUCAGCCACGGUGCGACCGUGGUUGGUGCCGUAGGGAAGCCGUGAAGCGAGCCACCUGGGAAGUACAGCCGCAAGGCUGAAACUUAAAGGAAUUGGCGGGGGAGCACUACAACGGGUGGAGCCUGCGGUUU
rnacentral:rRNA from 1 species